rnacentral:rRNA from 1 species
GACUGCUAUUGGAUGAUACUAAGCCAUGCGAGUCUUUGUAGUAAUACAAGGCAGACGGCUCAGUAACACGUAGUCAACCUACCCUAUGGACAAGAAUAAUCUCGGGAAACUGGGCAUAAUUCUUGAUAGAUCAUAAUGCCUGGAAUGGUUUAUGGUUAAAAUGAUUCGUCGCCAUAGGAUGGGACUGCGGCCUAUCAGCUUGUUGGUGAGGUAAUGGCCCACCAAGGCGAUUACAGGUACGGGCUCUGAGAAGAGAAGCCCGGAGAUGGGUACUGAGACACGGACCCAGGCCCUAUGGGGCGCAGCAGGCGCGAAAACUUGACAAUGCGAGAAAUCGUGAUCAGGGGACUCCAGUUGGCUGGAUCAAAAGUCCAGUCUGAACCGACUUUAAAUCGGUCGGGUAAUAGGGGCGGGAAAGACCGGUGCCAGCCGCCGCGGUAAUACCGGCGCCCCAAGUGGUCGUCACUAUUAUUGGGCCUAAAACGUCCGUAGCCGGUUUGGUAAAUCCGUGGGUAAAUCAGACAGCCUAACUGUCUGAAUUCUGCGGGGACUGCCAGACUUGAGACCGGGAGAGGUGCGGGGUACCUGCGGGGUACCGGUAAAAUGGGAUCAUCCCGUAGAGACCACCUGUUGCGAAGGCGCCGCACUAGAACGGAUCUGACGGUCAGGGACGAAGCCUAGGGGCACGAACCGGAUUAGAUACCCGGGUAGUCCUAGGUGUAAACGCUGUGGACUUGGUGUCGGGGACCUUCUGAGGGUUUCCGGUGCCGGAGUGAAGAUGUUAAGUCCACUGCCUGGGGAGUACGGUCG